GACGAACGCUGGCGGCGUGCUUAACACAUGCAAGUCGAACGGAAAGGCCUCUUUCGGGGGGUACUCGAGUGGCGAACGGGUGAGUAACACGUGAGUAACCUGCCCUUGACUUUGGGAUAACUUCAGGAAACUGGGGCUAAUACCGGAUAGGAGCUCCUGCUGCAUGGUGGGGGUUGGAAAGUUUCGGCGGGUGGGGAUGGACUCGCGGCUUAUCAGCUUGUUGGUGGGGUAGUGGCUUACCAAGGCUUUGACGGGUAGCCGGCCUGGGAGGGUGACCGGCCACAAUGGGGCUGAGGUUCGGCCCAGACUCCUACGGGAGGCAGCAGGGGGGAAUAUUGGACAAUUGGUGGAAGCCUGAUGCAGCAACGCCGGGGGCGGGAUGACGGGCUUCGGGUUGUAAACCGCUUUCGCUCAGGACGAAGCUGUGUGUGACGGUAGUGGGUAAAGAAGCACCGGCUAACUACGUG
rnacentral:rRNA from 1 species